rnacentral:rRNA from 1 species
GGGUUGUGAGGUUAAGCGACUAAGCGUACACGGUGGAUGCCCUGGCAGUCAGAGGCGAUGAAGGACGUGCUAAUCUGCGAAAAGCGUCGGUAAGGUGAUAUGAACCGUUAUAACCGGCGAUGUCCGAAUGGGGAAACCCAGUGCAAUUCGUUGCACUAUCGUUAACUGAAUACAUAGGUUAACGAGGCGAACCGGGGGAACUGAAACAUCUAAGUACCCCGAGGAAAAGAAAUCAACCGAGAUUCCCCCAGUAGCGGCGAGCGAACGGGGAGCAGCCCAGAGUCUGAAUCAGCUUGUGUGUUAGUGGAACGGUCUGGAAAGUCCGACGGUACAGGGUGAUAGUCCCGUACACCAAAAUGCACAGGCUGUGAACUCGAAGAGUAGGGCGGGACACGUGGUAUCCUGUCUGAAUAUGGGGGGACCAUCCUCCAAGGCUAAAUACUCCUGACUGACCGAUAGUGAACCAGUACCGUGAGGGAAAGGCGAAAAGAACCCCGGCGAGGGGAGUGAAAAAGAACCUGAAACCGUGUACGUACAAGCAGUGGGAGCACCUUCGGGUGUGACUGCGUACCUUUUGUAUAAUGGGUCAGCGACUUAUAUUCUGUAGCAAGGUUAACCGUAUAGGGGAGCCGCAGGGAAACCGAGUCUUAACUGGGCGUUAAGUUGCAGGGUAUAGACCCGAAACCCGGUGAUCUAGCCAUGGGCAGGUUGAAGGUUGGGUAACACUAACUGGAGGACCGAACCGACUAAUGUUGAAAAAUUAGCGGAUGACUUGUGGCUGGGGGUGAAAGGCCAAUCAAACCGGGAGAUAGCUGGUUCUCCCCGAAAGCUAUUUAGGUAGCGCCUCGUGAACUCAUCUUCGGGGGUAGAGCACUGUUUCGGCUAGGGGGUCAUCCCGACUUACCAACCCGAUGCAAACUACGAAUACCGAAGAAUGUUAUCACGGGAGACACACGGCGGGUGCUAACGUCCGUCGUGAAGAGGGAAACAACCCAGACCGCCAGCUAAGGUCCCAAAGUCAUGGUUAAGUGGGAAACGAUGUGGGAAGGCACAGACAGCCAGGAUGUUGGCUUAGAAGCAGCCAUCAUUUAAAGAAAGCGUAAUAGCUCACUGGUCGAGUCGGCCUGCGCGGAAGAUGUAACGGGGCUAAACCAUGCACCGAAGCUGCGGCAGCGACACUAUGUGUUGUUGGGUAGGGGAGCGUUCUGUAAGCCUGCGAAGGUGUGCUGUGAGGCAUGCUGGAGGUAUCAGAAGUGCGAAUGCUGACAUAAGUAACGAUAAAGCGGGUGAAAAGCCCGCUCGCCGGAAGACCAAGGGUUCCUGUCCAACGUUAAUCGGGGCAGGGUGAGUCGACCCCUAAGGCGAGGCCGAAAGGCGUAGUCGAUGGGAAACAGGUUAAUAUUCCUGUACUUGGUGUUACUGCGAAGGGGGGACGGAGAAGGCUAUGUUAGCCGGGCGACGGUUGUCCCGGUUUAAGCAUGUAGGCUGGUUGUCCAGGCAAAUCCGGAUAAUCAAGGCUGAGGUGUGAUGACGAGGCACUACGGUGCUGAAGUAACAAAUGCCCUGCUUCCAGGAAAAGCCUCUAAGCAUCAGGUAACAUUAAAUCGUACCCCAAACCGACACAGGUGGUCAGGUAGAGAAUACCAAGGCGCUUGAGAGAACUCGGGUGAAGGAACUAGGCAAAAUGGUGCCGUAACUUCGGGAGAAGGCACGCUGGUGUGUAGGUGAAGCCCCUGCGGGUGGAGCUGAGACCAGUCGAAGAUACCAGCUGGCUGCAACUGUUUAUUAAAAACACAGCACUGUGCAAACACGAAAGUGGACGUAUACGGUGUGACGCCUGCCCGGUGCCGGAAGGUUAAUUGAUGGGGUUAUCCGUAAGGAGAAGCUCUUGAUCGAAGCCCCGGUAAACGGCGGCCGUAACUAUAACGGUCCUAAGGUAGCGAAAUUCCUUGUCGGGUAAGUUCCGACCUGCACGAAUGGCGUAAUGAUGGCCAGGCUGUCUCCACCCGAGACUCAGUGAAAUUGAACUCGCUGUGAAGAUGCAGUGUACCCGCGGCAAGACGGAAAGACCCCGUGAACCUUUACUAUAGCUUGACACUGAACAUUGAGCCUUGAUGUGUAGGAUAGGUGGGAGGCUUUGAAGCGUGGACGCCAGUCUGCGUGGAGCCAACCUUGAAAUACCACCCUUUAAUGUUUGAUGUUCUAACGUUGGCCCCUUACCGGGGUUGCGGACAGUGUCUGGUGGGUAGUUUGACUGGGGCGGUCUCCUCCCAAAGCGUAACGGAGGAGCACGAAGGUUAGCUAAUCCUGGUCGGACAUCAGGAGGUUAGUGCAAUGGCAUAAGCUAGCUUGACUGCGAGCGUGACGGCGCGAGCAGGUGCGAAAGCAGGUCAUAGUGAUCCGGUGGUUCUGAAUGGAAGGGCCAUCGCUCAACGGAUAAAAGGUACUCCGGGGAUAACAGGCUGAUACCGCCCAAGAGUUCAUAUCGACGGCGGUGUUUGGCACCUCGAUGUCGGCUCAUCACAUCCUGGGGCUGAAGUAGGUCCCAAGGGUAUGGCUGUUCGCCAUUUAAAGUGGUACGCGAGCUGGGUUUAGAACGUCGUGAGACAGUUCGGUCCCUAUCUGCCGUGGGCGCUGGAGAAUUGAGGGGGGCUGCUCCUAGUACGAGAGGACCGGAGUGGACGCAUCACUGGUGUUCGGGUUGUCAUGCCAAUGGCACUGCCCGGUAGCUAAAUGCGGAAGAGAUAAGUGCUGAAAGCAUCUAAGCACGAAACUUGCCCCGAGAUGAGUUCUCCCUGAGACUUUAAGUCUCCUGAAGGAACGUUGAAGACGACGACGUUGAUAGGCCGGGUGUGUAAGCGCAGCGAUGCGUUGAGCUAACCGGUACUAAUGAACCGUGAGGCUUAACCUUACAACGCCGAAG